UCAUCAUUACCAGCUGCCGUGUUAAGCAUUGCGAAAACGCUCACGAUUCACAGAAAAAUCCAUGCUGUUCUUUGAAGGCAUUCAAGCCUUAAUAGCUAGCUGGAUGAAUGUUUAACUUCUAGGCCAGGCACUACUCUGUCCCAACAAUAAGCCCUGUACAUUGGGAAAGGUGCCGAGACAUGAACUUUGGUCUUCUCUGCAAUCCAUCUGGAGCAUUCACUGACAACAUCGACUUUGAAGUUGCACUGACCUGGCCAGCCCUGCCACUUACCAGGUUGGCUCUGUAUGGCUAAGCGUUUUCUCCUAAAAUCCCUUGAAAACUGUGAGAAGACCAUAAGAAGAUCAUAUCUUUAAUUCUAUUUCACAAGUCACACAAUAUUCCAAUCAAAUACAGAUGGUUGAGAAAAGUCAUCCAUCUUCCCUCCCCACCCUCCCACAGCCCCUCAACCACUGCCCUGAAACUUAUAUGCUGUUAUCCGCAGCUCCAUCUGGAGCAUCACAGCUACUGUCAACCCUGACGCUCUUUCUGAAAAAACACCGGAUGGACAUCAGAACUAUUUCUUUAAGGAUGUUACUGAGCCACACAGGAAAACUUGCCUUAUGAUUUUGAAUGCACGGAUCUGAUUUGACUAAACAUGAUAACUAGAGAAUCACCCAAUCUACUCCCAUUUUCAACUCUAAAUCAUCAGAGUGUCUCAAAUCCAAAGCACACACAGACCAGCCUGGCCAACACGGUGAAACUCCACCCCUACUAAAAGUAUAAAAAUUAUCCAGGUGUGGUGGCGGGCGCCUGUAAUCCAAGCUACUUGGGAGUCUGGAGGCAGGAGAAUCCCUUGAACCUGGGAGAUGGAGGUUGCAGUGAGCAGAGAUCACACCACCGCACUCUAGCCUGGGCCACAAAUCAACAACAACAACAACAACAAAAAACAAAGCGCACACAGAGACUGAGGUCCUCUUUGGCAUUGAGAAGAUGGCUAUGCAAGUCCCAACUAGCAAGUGCAAACUUCCCAGCUUCACUUCUGCCAGUGUCCCUUCACCCCUUCUCAACCCCACUGGGAGGCAGGAGGGUGCUUGACAAUAACAGCCUUGGCAUCACUCUGCCAGGGUGUAAUAGGAACUGUUACAAUUCUGAGAUUCUGUGUAAGCACUGGCCUUUCUGCCUAGAAUGCCUUCUCCUCUCUUUUUUAACUGCAUGCUCCUAUUUAUCUUUCAAAGCCCGGAAAAAAUAACACUGCACACGGGAAAUGCUCCCUUCCUACUGCAGUCAUUUAGAUGACUCUAUGCCAUUCCAUUCAUUUCUCUUUCCUACCACAGAAGUGCUUUGAGAUUUUGGAGUCAGACUGCUUGAACUUGAAUCCUGGCCCUCUCAUCAGAGACUUGACUUAUUUUAGGCAAGUUAUAUAACCAAUUUUACCUCAGUUCCUUACCCAUAAAAUGGGUCUAAUGAGAGUACCUACCACACAGAAUUUUGAUGAAAACUGAAUGAGAUGAAGGCCUUUAAGGCAGUGGUCCCCAACCCUGGGGACACAGACAGGUACCAUUUUGUGGCCUGUUAGGAACUGGGCCACACAGCAGGAGGUGAGCAGUGGGUGAGUGAGAUCAGCGUUAUUUACAGCUGCUCCCCAUUGCUCACCUUACUGCCUGAGCUCCACCUCCUGUCAGAUCAGCAGUGGCAUUAAAUUCUCAUAGCAGCACAAACCCUGUCAUGAACUGCACAUGCGAGGGAUCUAGGUUGUGCGCUCCUUAUGAGAAUCUAAUGCCUAAUGACCUGUCACCGUCUCCCAUCACCCCUAGAUGGGAGUGUCUAGUUGCAGGAAACAAGCUCAGGGCUUCCACUGAUUCUACAUUAUGGUGAGUUGUAUAAUUAUUUCAUUAUAUAAUACAAUGUAAUAAUAAUAGAAACACAGUGCACAACAAAUGUAAUGUGCUUGAAUCAUCCCCAAACCAUCCCAGUCCACGGUCUUCCACAUUUUGUCUUUUCACAAAAUUGUCUUCCACAAAACUGGUCCCUGGUGCCAAAAAGGCUUGGGACCACUGCUUUAAAGCCUUUGCAUAGUGCUUAGAAUUGAGGGGGAAAAAAAAAACAAAAACAAUGUAGCUAGUUGCUACAAUCACUAUAUUGGUGAGUUUC
rnacentral:lncRNA from 1 species